rnacentral:rRNA from 1 species
GUGCAGCAGGCGCGAAACUUUACAAUGUGCGAAAGCACGAUAAGGGAACUCUGAGUGCCUCCUAAGGAGGCUGUUCAGGUGUCUAAAAGCACCUGAAGGAAGGGCUGGGUAAGACCGGUGCCAGCCGCCGCGGUAACACCGGCAGCCCAAGUGGUAGCCACGUUUAUUGGGUCUAAAGCGUCCGUAGCCGGCUGGGUAAGUUCCUUGGGAAAUUUGGCUGCUUAACAGUCAAGCUUUCAGGGAAUACUGCCCGGCUUGGGACCGGGAGAGGUCAGAGGUACUCCAGGGGUAGGGGUGAAAUCCAUUAAUCCUUGGGGGACCACCGGUAGCGAAGGCGUCUGACCAGACCGGGUCCGACGGUGAGGGACGAAGGCUAGGGGCGCGAACCGGAUUAGAUA